rnacentral:rRNA from 1 species
AUUGAACGCUGGCGGCAUGCCUUACACAUGCAAGUCGAACGGCAGCACGGGAGCAAUCCUGGUGGCGAGUGGCGAACGGGUGAGUAAUAUAUCGGAACGUGCCCAGUCGUGGGGAUAACGUAGCGAAAGCUACGCUAAUACCGCAUACGAUCUAUGGAUGAAAGCGGGGGAUCGCAAGACCUCGCGCGAUUGGAGCGGCCGAUAUCAGAUUAGGUAGUUGGUGAGGUAAAGGGCUCACCAAGCCGACGAUCUGUAGCUGGUCUGAGAGGACGACCAGCCACACUGGGACUGAGACACGGUCCAGACUCCUACGGGAGGCAGCAGUGGGGAAUUUUUGGGACAAUGGACGCAAGUCUGAUCCAGCAAUGCCGCGUGCAGGAUGAAGGCCU